GUGGGCUCCAAGUAGGAAGAUAAACCGCAUUGCAGGAAGCGGGAGAGUCCGGAGGAGCGGCGAAGCGCUCCUCUUCCCCAUUGGCUGCGCCCACGGAGCCGCCUUGCGAUUGGCCCUAAGCGCGGGUGGCGGGGGUCGGGAGAGGCGUCAGGAUCCCUGGCGCCGCCUGAGCCAGCGGCUGCUGGGAGGCUGUGUCCGCAAGCCAGCGGGGCGAGGCGGCUGGGCCCUGCGCGUCAGGUCCCGGCCUGGGGCACCGGGGCUGGCAGCGUCGGAGGAGGCCUGAGACCUGGGAGGAAGCUGGAGAAAAGAUGCCCUCUGAAUCUUUGUUUGGCUGCCCAGGCUCGCCUCGACACCGAAUGGUUGAAAACAGAUAUACAGAUGAUAGUGUCGAACCAAGUGGAACAAAGAAAGAAGAUCUGAAUGACAAACAGAAAAAAGAUGAAGACGAAACUCCUGCACCUGUAUAUAGGGCCAAGUCAAUUCUGGAGACCUGGGUGUGGGUCAAGCAACCAGAUGUGAAAAGAGAGGUCCAAAGAACUCAAGCAAUUUUCCCUAAACCGUGUCCCUCGCAGAUGGAGAGAGAGUAGAGACGAGAUUUCACCAUGUUGGCCAGGCUGGUUUUGAACUCCAGACCUUGUGAUCCGCCCGCCUCUGCCUCCCAAAGUGCUGGGAUUAGAGGCAUGAGCCACCGCUCCUGGCCUGCAAUUUUCAUCUUUUGGCUGCAAAUACUCGGGAGACUGAGGCAGGAGAAUCACUUGAACCUGGGAUGCAGAGGUUGCAGUGAGCCGAGAUCGCACCAUUGCACUCCAGCCUGGGCAACAGAACGAAACUGUGUCUCAUAAAACAAAUGUAACUGAAAAUGGUAACGUGUUUCUUUAAAACUGAAGAAAAUGUGCAAGGUGGAUGUCUUCCUGUCACUUCGCACAGCCUACUGCCAUAGUGCCUGAACCCCAGACCCCAAACUCACUGUCCUGCUCGGGGACCCCAGACCACACUGGCCAUUGAAGGCACCCCAAGUACUCUCCUAUCCUCACCUCACUCCUGCAGUAAAUGGCUAAAUGAAUAACUCAGAAGUGAAGCCAAAAAGAAAAAGAAAAUGCACAUGGGGAACAGGAGAGGCGAGCAGAGGCCAGUCUGGAAGCCUAGGCUGAUACGCUGCGAAGAGAUGUCUCCGGGUGCUGCCUGCGGGGCGCAGUCUGCCAUUCAGAACACACCUAGAGAAGUCCUAACCAUUAAAGAGCACCCAUUCCUGAGUCCCCUGCCUGCCCACAAAACUUUCCUUGAAACACCCUAACCUCUGAGCCUUUGGGGAGGCUGAUUUCAGUGAUAACUCCAGUCCUUCCAUGUGGCUGGCAUUGAGUUAAUUCAACUCCUUACUGCAAUACCAUGGCCUCAGUGAACUGGUUUUGUCUGUGCAGCAAGCAGGAAGAACCCACCAGGGAAUUACAAUGGUAUUGGGAAAACUGGAUUUCCACGUGCAAAUGAAUGAAUGAUGUUACCCCAAGUGGUUGGGGAUGCAAUCAUACGGGUGUGGAAAUAGUCCUCAUGCACUGAGUCCACAUCUGGGUGGGGCCACAGGUUGAGUCCAGGUGGGGUAAGUCUGAGAAACAUCCCAAAAGGCCAAUUUUAGGUUCCACAAUAGUGAUGUUAUCUACAGGAGGCAUUGGGGAAGACACACAUCUUGUGACCUCUGGCCACAUGACUCCUGAGCAGUAAGGGGUUACAGAAACUAUGCUGUAUUUUCACAGAAUUCAGGCCCCCACGCACCAAAUCCUAAUCUUGUGGCCUUUCAUUCAUCUUACAAAAGUGGGUUCAGCUCCUGGACAAGGACAGCAUCAGUUUUAGGGAGGUUCUAUUAUCAUCCUUGCUUCAACGUUAGCAUAGCAGACAAGCGCAGAACCAGAAAUUAACACGUGGGAAAUUAUACACCACAAAUAGUACAAUCCAUGGAAGAACCAAGGGAAUGGCGAUAGCAGAAUGUCAGGAAAGGACUUUGUAAUGUGUAGGCCUUAGAGAAAUAGGGAAUUGAGACAAUAAUCUAUUUGAAUUCUUGGAAAUAAAAAAUGUAAUUAC